rnacentral:rRNA from 1 species
UACAGAGGGGGCAAGCGUUGUUCGGAAUUACUGGGCGUAAAGGGCGCGUAGGCGGCCUGCUAAGUCGAACGUGAAAUCCCCGGGCUCAACCCGGGAACUGCGUCCGAUACUGGUUGGCUUGAAUCCGGGAGAGGGAUGCGGAAUUCCAGGCGUAGCGGUGAAAUGCGUAGAUAUCUGGAGGAACACCGGUGGCGAAGGCGGCCACCUGGACGGUAACUGACGCUGAGACGCGAAAGCGUGGGGAGCAAACAGG